CCCUUAGACGUUCUGGGCCGCACGCGCGCUACACUGACCAGUGCAACAAGCAUCCGUCCUUGGCCGACAGGCCCGGGCAAUCUUUGAACGCUGGUCGUGAUGGGGAUAGACUUUUGCAAUUUUUGGUCUUCAACGAGGAAUUCCUAGUAAACGCAAGUCAUCAACCUGCAUUGAUUACGUCCCUGCCCUUUGUACACACCGCCCGUCGCACCUACCGAUUGAAUGGUCCGGUGAAGCCUCCGGAUUGGCGCGCACCUCGGUGCCGCCGAGAAGUUGGCUAAACCUUACCAUUUAGAGGAAGGUGAANUCGUAACA
rnacentral:rRNA from 1 species